GGCUACGAGGACGAACGCGUGGCGGCGUGCCUAAUACAUGCAAGUCGAGCGAAUCUGAGGGAGCUUGCUACCAAAGAUUAGCGGCGGACGGUGAGUAACACGUGGGUAACCUGCCUGUAAGAUUGGGAUAACGUACCGGGAAACCGGAGCUAAUACCGGAUAAUAAUUGAACCGCAUUGGUUACUAAAUUUGAAAGAUGGCUUCUCGCUAUCACUUACAGAUGGACCCGCGGCGCAUUAGCUAGUUGGUGAGGUAACGGCUCACCAAGGCAACGAUGCGUAGCCGACCUGAGAGGGUGAUCGGCCACACUGGGACUGAGACACGGCCCAGACUCCUACGGGAGGCAGCAGUAGGGAAUCUUCCGCAAUGGACGAAAGUCUGACGGAGCAACGCCGCGUGAACGAUGAAGGCCUUCGGGUCGUAAAGUUCUGUUGUUAGGGAAGAGCAAGUGCUAGAGUAACUGCUAGCACCUUGACGGUACCUAACCAGAAAGCCACGGCUAACUACGUG
rnacentral:rRNA from 1 species